rnacentral:rRNA from 1 species
GACGAACGCUGGCGGCGUGCUUAACACAUGCAAGUCGAACGGUGAAGGUGGGAGCUUGCUCCUGCUGGAUCAGUGGCGAACGGGUGAGUAACACGUGAGUAACCUGCCCUUGACUCUGGGAUAAGCGUUGGAAACGACGUCUAAUACCGGAUACGAGCUUCAGCCGCAUGGCUAGGAGCUGGAAAGAUUUUUCGGUCAAGGAUGGACUCGCGGCCUAUCAGCUUGUUGGUGAGGUAAUGGCUCACCAAGGCGACGACGGGUAGCCGGCCUGAGAGGGUGACCGGCCACACUGGGACUGAGACACGGCCCAGACUCCUACGGGAGGCAGCAGUGGGGAAUAUUGCACAAUGGGCGCAAGCCUGAUGCAGCAACGCCGCGUGAGGGACGACGGCCUUCGGGUUGUAAACCUCUUUUAGCAGGGAAGAAGCGCAAGUGACGGUACCUGCAGAAAAAGCACCGGCUAACUACGUGCCAGCCGCCGCAGUAAUAC